GGGCAAAAGGAAAAAGAUGCAGAUAUUUGUCCGACGAUCACUCUCGAGGUAGAGAUCAAUCACACCAUUGACAAUGUCGAGUCUAAGAUUCAGAUAAUAAGGCCUUCCUCCUGAACAAAAACGAUGAUUUUUGCCGGGAAGCAACUUGAAGAUGUCCAUAUUCUUGUCGAUUACAGCAUUCAGAAAGGAAUGUAUUGAGAGGAGUUUUGACUAAUUUAAUGAGAACAAGGAGAAUUUAGCUACUUGUUGUAAUUUGACCACAAAUAUGACGAAAG